rnacentral:rRNA from 1 species
GAUGAACGCUGGCGGCGUGCCUAACACAUGCAAGUCGAACGGGGUUCUAUGUCGGAAGUUUUCGGAUGGAAGAGAUAGAACCCAGUGGCGGACGGGUGAGUAACACGUGGGUAACCUGCCUCAUAGAGGGGGAUAACAGAGAGAAAUCACUGCUAAUACCGCAUAAGCACACGGGAUCGCAUGAUCCAGUGUGAAAAGAUUUAUCGCUAUGAGAUGGACUCGCGUCUGAUUAGCUGGUUGGCGGGGUAAAGGCCCACCAAGGCGACGAUCAGUAGCCGAUCUGAGAGGAUGGCCGGCCACAUUGGGACCGAGACACGGCCCAGACUCCUACGGGAGGCAGCAGUGGGGGAUAUUGCACAAUGGAGGGAACUCUGAUGCAGCAACGCCGCGUGAGUGAAGAAGUAUUUCGGUAUGUAAAGCUCUAUCAGCAGGGAAGAUGAUGACAGUACCUGAAUAAGAAGCCCCGGCUAACUACGUGCCAGCAGCCGCGGUAAUACGUAGGGGGCAAGCGUUAUCCGGAUUUACUGGGUGUAAAGGGAGCGUAGACGGCGAAGCAAGUCUGAAGUGAAAAUCCGGGGCUCAACUCCGGAAGUGCUUUGGAAACUGUUUUGAUAGAGUGUCGGAGAGGUAAGUGGAAUUCCUGGUGUAGCGGUGAAAUGCGUAGAUAUCAGGAAGAACACCGGAGGCGAAGGCGGCUUACUGGACGAUAACUGACGUUGAGGCUCGAAAGCGUGGGGAAGCAAACAGG